rnacentral:rRNA from 1 species
AGUGAACGCUGGCGGUAGGCCUAACACAUGCAAGUCGAACGGCAGCACAGAGGAGCUUGCUCCUUGGGUGGCGAGUGGCGGACGGGUGAGGAAGACAUCGGAAUCUGCUCUGUCGUGGGGGAUAACGUAGGGAAACUUACGCUAAUACCGCAUACGACCUACGGGUGAAAGCAGGGGAUCUUCGGAACUUGCGCGAUUGAAUGAGCCGAUGUCGGAUUAGCUAGUUGGCGGGGUAAAGGCCCACCAAGGCGACGAUCCGUAGCUGGUCUGAGAGGAUGAUCAGCCACACUGGAACUGAGACACGGUCCAGACUCCUACGGGAGGCAGCAGUGGGGAAUAUUGGACAAUGGGCGCAAGCCUGAUCCAGCCAUACCGCGUGGGUGAAGAAGGCCUUCGGGUUGUAAAGCCCUUUUGUUGGGAAAGAAAUCCAUCUGGUUAAUACCCGGGUGGGAUGACGGUACCCAAAGAAUAAGCACCGGCUAACUUCGUGCCAGCAGCCGCAGUAA